ACCAGAACUAUAAUCAUCAGCAAUUCCUUUUUUGCUUUGUUUUAUUAAUUUUUUACUAAUAGCAUAGGUAGCAGCUCUAAUCAAUAGCAAUUGACUAUGCCUUGAUCAAAACUAAAUGAUGUCCUUUGUCCAAUUCGGGCUCAUUUCUCCAAUAAUAAAUUCUCCUCCCAUUUCAAUGUCUGUCAGACCCGAAUUUUAUUGAUCUAGCCCUGAAAAGUUCGCUGUGUGAACCUGUAUGUUUUUGGGCCUAGGACUUAUUUGUAUGCACGUGUUAUAUAAGUGCGUUUAGUGGGCUAUUUCGGGUUGUUCUCAUACACACGAAAUUGAGACUAUCGUCUCCAUAUUAUACUCCUCUCCAUUAUAGUGGAUUCCUCUGACUCUACCGUGAUUUUUUCCAUAAGAAUUUCCACGUAAAUCUGUGCGUUCUUGUUUUUCCUUUUGCUUGUGGUUUGCUUAUUUUGGCCAAUUCAUAAGAGUCUUGUUUUUCCUUUUGCUUGUGGUUUGCUUAUUUUGGCCAAUUCAUAAGAGUCUUGUUUUUCCUUUUGCUUGUGGUUUGCUUAUUUUGGCCAAUUCAUAACAGUCUGUUUUACUUGCUAUUUGAACGUCUGCAGAUAUCUUCUUUGUUCAUAAUUUUUUCAAAUAUUUUUUAACAAAAUUAUUAGC
rnacentral:lncRNA from 1 species